GGAAGGUCCGGGCGNUAUCCGGAAUUACNGGGUUUAAAGGGAGCGUAGGCCGGAGANUAAGCGNGUNGUGAAANGNAGACGCUCAACGUCUGCACUGCAGCGCGAACUGGUUUCCUNGAGUACGCACAAAGUGGGCGGAAUUCGUGGUGUAGCGGUGAAAUGCUUAGAUAUCACGCAGAACCCCGAUUGCGAAGGCAGCCUGCUAAUCUGCGACUGACAUUGAGGCUCGAAAGUGUGGGUAUCAAACAGGAUUAGAUACCCUGGUAGUCCACACAGUAAACGAUGAAUACUCGCUGCUGGCGAUAUACGGUCAGCGGCCAAGCGAAAGCAUUAAGUAUUCCACCUGGGGAGU
rnacentral:rRNA from 1 species